AGACCCGAAACCCGGUGAUCUAGCCAUGGGCAGGUUGAAGGUUGGGUAACACUAACUGGAGGACCGAACCGACUAAUGUUGAAAAAUUAGCGGAUGACCUGUGGCUGGGGGUGAAAGGCCAAUCAAACCGGGAGAUAGCUGGUUCUCCCCGAAAGCUAUUUAGGUAGCGCCUCGUGAAUUCAUCUCCGGGGGUAGAGCACUGUUUCGGCUAGGGGGCCAUCCCGGCUUACCAACCCGAUGCAAACUGCGAAUACCGGAGAAUGUUAUCACGGGAGACACACGGCGGGUGCUAACGUCCGUCGUGAAGAGGGAAACAACCCAGACCGCCAGCUAAGGUCCCAAAGUCAUGGUUAAGUGGGAAACGAUGUGGGAAGGCCCAGACAGCCAGGAUGUUGGCUUAGAAGCAGCCAUCAUUUAAAGAAAGCGUAAUAGCUCACUGGUCGAGUCGGCCUGCGCGGAAGAUGUAACGGGGCUAAACCAUGCACCGAAGCUGCGGCAGCGACACUGUGUGUUGUUGGGUAGGGGAGCGUUCUGUAAGCCUGUGAAGGUGGCCUGUGAGGGUUGCUGGAGGUAUCAGAAGUGCGAAUGCUGACAUAAGUAACGAUAAAGCGGGUGAAAAGCCCGCUCGCCGGAAGACCAAGGGUUCCUGUCCAACGUUAAUCGGGGCAGGGUGAGUCGACCCCUAAGGCGAGGCCGAAAGGCGUAGUCGAUGGGAAACGGGUUAAUAUUCCCGUACUUGGUGUUACUGCGAAGGGGGGACGGAGAAGGCUAUGUUGGCCGGGCGACGGUUGUCCCGGUUUAAGCGUGUAGGUGUGUGUUCCAGGUAAAUCCGGUUCACUUUAACACUGAGGCGUGAUGACGAGGCACUACGGUGCUGAAGCAACAAAUGCCCUGCUUCCAGGAAAAGCCUCUAAGCAUCAGGUAACAUCAAAUCGUACCCCAAACCGACACAGGUGGUCAGGUAGAGAAUACCAAGGCGCUUGAGAGAACUCGGGUGAAGGAACUAGGCAAAAUGGUGCCGUAACUUCGGGAGAAGGCACGCUGACACGUAGGUGAAGUGAUUUACUCAUGGAGCUGAAGUCAGUCGAAGAUACCAGCUGGCUGCAACUGUUUAUUAAAAACACAGCACUGUGCAAACACGAAAGUGGACGUAUACGGUGUGACGCCUGCCCGGUGCCGGAAGGUUAAUUGAUGGGGUCAGCGCAAGCGAAGCUCCUGAUCGAAGCCCCGGUAAACGGCGGCCGUAACUAUAACGGUCCUAAGGUAGCGAAAUUCCUUGUCGGGUAAGUUCCGACCUGCACGAAUGGCGUAAUGAUGGCCAGGCUGUCUCCACCCGAGACUCAGUGAAAUUGAACUCGCUGUGAAGAUGCAGUGUACCCGCGGCAAGACGGAAAGACCCCGUGAACCUUUACUAUAGCUUGACACUGAACAUUGAGCCUUGAUGUGUAGGAUAGGUGGGAGGCUUUGAAGUGUGG
rnacentral:rRNA from 1 species